UACGUAGGCGGAAAUCUAAGUCAGUGGUGAAAUCCCGCAGCUCAACUGUGGAGCUGUCAUUGAUACUGGUUUUCUUGAAUAUAGUUGAGGUAGGCGGAAUGUGUAAUGUAGCGGUGAAAUGCUUAGAUAUUACACAGAACACCGAUUGCGAAGGCAGCUUACUAAGCUAUGAUUGACGCUGAGGUACGAAAGCGUGGGGAGCGAACAGGAUUAGAUACCCUGGUAGUCC
rnacentral:rRNA from 1 species